rnacentral:lncRNA from 1 species
UAUCAUUACAAAAAAUGCACAGCUGGUCACCAGCCAACCUAAUGAAAUGCCCCGAGUAGGGUAGUGGCAUUUGUACUAAUAGUGGCUACUAGUUCUUUUAAAAAGUGUUUCAAGGAACUACGAGGCAUGGAUUUUUUUGAGGCAUUUGAGUGACAGUCCAGAAAUAAAAAAAUACAUGUUUUAGAGCAGUGGUCCCCAGCAUUUUGGCACCAGGAACCGGUUUCGUAGAGGACAAUUUUUCCUAGAUAGGUGGGGGGUGAAAGGGGCUGGUUUUGGGAUGAAACUGUUCCACCUCAGAUCAUCAGGCAUUAGAUUCUCAUACGGAGCACACAACUCAGAUCCCCUGCAUGUACAGUUCACACUAGGGUUCAGGCUCCUGUGAGAAUCUAAUGUGGCCUCUGAUCAGACAGGAGGCUUCUGCACUCCCUUCCCU